rnacentral:rRNA from 1 species
GACGAACGCUGGCGGCGUGCUUAACACAUGCAAGUCGAACGGAAAGGCCCUGCUUUUGCGGGGUGCUCGAGUGGCGAACGGGUGAGUAACACGUGAGUAACCUGCCCUUGACUUUGGGAUAACUUCAGGAAACUGGGGCUAAUACCGGAUAGGAGCUCCUGCUGCAUGGUGGGGGUUGGAAAGUUUCGGCGGUUGGGGAUGGACUCGCGGCUUAUCAGCUUGUUGGUGGGGUAGUGGCUUACAAGGCUUUGACGGGUAGCCGGCCUGAGAGGGUGACCGGCCACAUUGGGACUGAGAUACGGCCCAGACUCCUACGGGAGGCAGCAGUGGGGAAUAUUGCACAAUGGGCGGAAGCCUGAUGCAGCAACGCCGCGUGCGGGAUGACGGCCUUCGGGUUGUAAACCGCUUUCGCCUGUGACGAAGCGUGAGUGACGGUAAUGGGUAAAGAAGCACCGGCUAACUACGUG